AGAACGAACGCUGGCGGCAGGCUUAACACAUGCAAGUCGAGCGCCCCGCAAGGGGAGCGGCAGACGGGUGAGUAACGCGUGGGAACAUACCCUCCGGUUCGGAAUAGCUCAGGGAAACUUGGAUUAAUACCGGAUACGGCCUAGCGGCGAAAGAUUCAUCGCCGGAGGAUUGGCCCGCGUUCGAUUAGCUAGUUGGUGAGGUAACGGCUCACCAAGGCGACGAUCGAUAGCUGGUCUGAGAGGAUGAUCAGCCACAUUGGGACUGAGACACGGCCCAAACUCCUACGGGAGGCAGCAGUGGGGAAUAUUGGACAAUGGGCGCAAGCCUGAUCCAGCCAUGCCGCGUGAGUGAUGAAGGCCUUAGGGUUGUAAAGCUCUUUCACCCACGACGAUAAUGACGGUAGUGGGAGAAGAAGCCCGGCUAACUUCGUGCCAGCAGCCGC
rnacentral:rRNA from 1 species